rnacentral:rRNA from 1 species
UAAAUACUAAUACCAGAUCGAUAGUGCACAAGUACCGUGAGGGAAAGGUGAAAAGAACUGAGGUGAUCAGAGUGAAAUAGAACCUGAAACCAUUUGCUUACAAUCAUUCAGAGCACUAUGUAGCAAUACAGUGUGAUGGACUGCCUUUUGCAUAAUGAGCCUGCGAGUUGUGGUGUCUGGCAAGGUUAAGCAAACGCGAAGCCGUAGCGAAAGCGAGUCUGAAUAGGGCGCUUAGUCAGAUGCUGCAGACCCGAAACGAAGUGAUCUAUCCAUGAGCAAGUUGAAGCUAGUGUAAGAACUAGUGGAGGACUGAACCCAUAGGCGUUGAAAAGCCCCGGGAUGACUUGUGGAUAGGGGUGAAAGGCCAAUCAAACUUCGUGAUAGCUGGUUCUCUCCGAAAUAUAUUUAGGUAUAGCGUUGUGUCGUAAUAUAAGGGGGUAGAGCACUGAAUGGGCUAGGGCAUACACCAAUGUACCAAACCCUAUCAAACUCCGAAUACCUUAUAUGUAAUCACAGCAGUCAGGCGGCGAGUGAUAAAAUCCGUCGUCAAGAGGGAAACAACCCAGACUACCAGCUAAGGUCCCUAAAUCUUACUUAAGUGGAAAACGAUGUGAAGUUACUUAAACAACCAGGAGGUUGGCUUAGAAGCAGCCAUCCUUUAAAGAAAGCGUAAUAGCUCACUGGUCUAGUGAUUUUGCGCGGAAAAUAUAACGGGGCUAAAGUAAGUACCGAAGCUGUAGACUUGCACACAACUUAGAUUAUUUAAGUUUAGAAUAUGAGAAACUAAGUUAUAUGUUUAGUUAUAUUUUUACUGAUUUUUAUAGAGUAAAGAUAGAAAUAAAACUUAGUAAAAUCAGUAAAAAUAUUCUUAGGCUAAAGUUAAGUAGUUUAAGUUGUGUGCAAGUGGUAGGAGAGCGUUCUAUUUGCGUCGAAGGUAUACCGGUAAGGAGUGCUGGAGCGAAUAGAAGUGAGCAUGCAGGCAUGAGUAGCGAUAAUUAAUGUGAGAAUCAUUAACGCCGUAAACCCAAGGUUUCCUACGCGAUGCUCGUCAUCGUAGGGUUAGUCGGGUCCUAAGUCGAGUCCGAAAGGGGUAGACGAUGGCAAAUUGGUUAAUAUUCCAAUACCAACAUUAGUGUGCGAUGGAAGGACGCUUAGGGCUAAGGGGGCUAGCGGAUGGAAGUGCUAGUCUAAGGUUGUAGGAGGUUAUACAGGCAAAUCCGUAUAACAAUACUCCGAGAACUGAAAGGCUUUUUGAAGUCUUCGGAUGGAUAGAAGAACCCCUGAUGCCGUCGAGCCAAGAAAAGUUUCUAAGUUUAGCUAAUGUUGCCCGUACCGUAAACCGACACAGGUGGGUGGGAUGAGUAUUCUAAGGCGCGUGGAAGAACUCUCUUUAAGGAACUCUGCAAAAUAGCACCGUAUCUUCGGUAUAAGGUGUG